UGGCGGACGGGUGAGUAAUGUCUGGGAAACUGCCCGAUGGAGGGGGAUAACUACUGGAAACGGUAGCUAAUACCGCAUAACGUCGCAAGACCAAAGAGGGGGACCUUCGGGCCUCUUGCCAUCGGAUGUGCCCAGAUGGGAUUAGCUAGUAGGUGGGGUAACGGCUCACCUAGGCGACGAUCCCUAGCUGGUCUGAGAGGAUGGCCAGCCACACUGGAACUGAGACACGGCCCAG
rnacentral:rRNA from 1 species